rnacentral:rRNA from 1 species
AUCUCUGUAGAGUCUGCAUAUCAAUAAGCGGAGGAAAAGGAACUAACUAGGAUUCCUCUCAGUAACGGCGAGUGAAGCGGGAAGAGCUCAAAUUUGAAAUCUUCAAGGUUCUACCUUGACGAAUUGUAGUUUAAAGAAGUGUUUUCUGUUGAAGUUUCGGUAAAAGUUCUUUGGAAUAGGACAUCAUAGAGGGUGAGAAUCCCGUAUUUGACCAGUUAUUUCUCAGCUGUGUGAUACACUUUCAAAGAGUCGGAUUGUUUGGGAUGCAGUCCAAAAUGGGUGGUAAAUUUCAUCUAAAGCUAAAUAUUGGCGAGAGACCGAUAGCGAACAAGUACCGUGAGGGAAAGAUGAAAAGAACUUUGAAAAGAGAGUUAAACAGUACGUGAAAUUGUCAAAAGGGAAGCGUUUGACACCAGUGUUGUUUUCUCGAAAAUCAAUUAAAAAAGGUUGAUUUUGUGUUGUAUUGACCUUAACAGCUUUCUUCACUCUUUUCCUGUCUUUUUUUUAAUGCACUUUUCGUUUAACAAGUCAACAUCAGUUUCUUUUGUUGUAAAAAGGUCAUUGGAAGGUGGCUUCCUUUUCGGAGAAAGUGUUUAUAGCCUUUGACUUCUGCAAUCGGAGAGACUGAGGUCUGCAGCGUAGAUCCUUCUGGAUUAGAUUCAUUUGUGCUAAGUUACAACCGUUUAUAGACAACUUGUUGACUAUAUUCGAUCCUGUAGCUUACUCGCUUAUGUAAUUUUACCUACGCUUAGGAUGUUGAUCUGUAGUGCGUGCGC